rnacentral:rRNA from 1 species
AGAGCGAACGCUGGCGGCAGGCCUAACACAUGCAAGUCGAGCGCCGUAGCAAUACGGAGCGGCAGACGGGAGAGUAACACGUGGGAACGUACCCUUUGGUUCGGAACAACCCAGGGAAACUUGGGCUAAUACCGAAUAAGCCCUUACGGGGAAAGAUUUAUCGCCGAAGGAUCGGCCCGCGUCUGAUUAGCUAGUUGGUGGGGUAACGGCCCACCAAGGCGACGAUCAGUAGCUGGUCUGAGAGGAUGAUCAGCCUCAUUGGGACUGAGACACGGCCCAAACUCCUACGGGAGGCAGCAGUGGGGAAUAUUGGACAAUGGGCGCAAGCCUGAUCCAGCCAUGCCGCGUGGGUGAUGAAGGCCCUAGGGUUGUAAAGCCCUUUCGGCGGGGAAGAUAAUGACGGUACCCGCAGAAGAAGCCCCGGCUAACUUCGCGCCAGCAGUCGC